AUUCCUCGAAUAGCGUCGAUAACGUCGUAUCGUCAGUGUUGCUCAUUUUUUAUAUAGGAAUAUUAUUCUUAUUUGGCCAACGUUGAGAUGGCGCCUCGCAGUUUUACUACGGGAGAUAGAACAGUUGCAGCGUAUGGACCCGAGUGGGGCCCCAAUCGCGUAUUAAUAAAAGAAAAGAAAGAGAUAGAACAGUUUCGGUUACAGUACCUUUUGUCUAAUGACACUUUUGUUUUCCGUUCAACAAUGUCCUCGUGCGAUUCGUACAGUUUCAAAUCUAGCGAUAAGUUAUCAGUUCUUGAGAAAACUGACGAUGUCAAGAAAUCUGAGAAUGUAGACCGAAAAAGCGAAUUUGGUAAAUAUGAAGAAACUUACAAUUGGGUCGAAUGCGAAUCCAUGCAAUUCCCGGGGAAACCAUAUUUUUUUAACUUAAGAACACAAAGUACCACGUGGAUUCGACCGGUAUCAAGACACGUGCAACUUCAACGUUUCAGUCGAAAAUCUAAAAUCUUCGAUGAUAAUUCGACACCUGAAAAAGAAAUUCCGUUGAUUUUAUCGUCAGAAAGUGAAAAAGAUGAUUGGGAGUAUAUUGAUAACGAAGAAAAUAAUCAAUGCAAUAAAGAAAUUUAUAAAAAUUCGGAAAUUCUUGCACGAUUAUAUUACGGUACGAAACUAAACCAAUUUUCCGACAAUGAUGAAACGCUAUAUUUUCAGGAUUAUUUUAAUUAUUUUGUCGAGAAUCUAUGCAAUAAAGAUUCACAAGGUUCUCACGAAGUUGCGGAAGAAGAAACGGUUUGCGAUAAAAGUGCACGCGAGAACUCGCCGAUCAUUAUAUCUAAUUUUCUCGACGUAGAAUUAUCGGUGUCGGAAGAUGCAUUGAAUAUUAAAGAAAAUAUUGAACCGUCCAACGAGGACAACAUAUCGCUUAUAGAAAAACCUGUCGUUUAUUCAACUUCCAGUUCCGACGAAGAGAAGAAAGAGAACAACAUGCGUAAAAAUUAUAUUGCGCCCCGUUUAAAAAAAAUAAAACCUCUGUGUUUGUUGAAAAAGAGCUUUAAAAACGCGAAGAAAAAAAAGGUGGCGAAGAAACGGAUACCGUUACAAGAGAAAAAAUUACAAGAAGUUAAAAUUGUUCGUGAAAUGUACGGUACGACAACUAUUAGUUACGAUCCGGUCGAGCCGGAACUUCCACCUGGUGUGAAAAAAAGAAAUCUUAGUGACAGUAGUAGCGAAGAAGAAAAUGUCAGAUCUGUUUGGAAUAAUUCGAAACUUUUCAAUGUCGAUUCAUACGUUGCGAAUUUGUCUAGCAAAUCAAGUUCGAACAGUAGUUCUAAUUCCAGUUCUAGUUCCAGUUGCAGUUGUAGUUGCAGUUGUUGCAGUUCAUCAUCCACUACAAGUAAAACUUCUAAACAUUAAAGGAAAGAGUACAUACAAAUAUGUAUAAAUAUUUUAUACUUCAAUAUUUCUUAAAAUGAACCAAAGAGAGCCAACAGAGGGCAACAGUGCAUGGCACUGAAUACAAGUAUAUUUUUUUAUUUACUUAAUUAAUUGAUAACAUUAAGAAUAUGUUAAUUAUUAAAUCGAAGAAAAUACAGAAAAAUGUCCCAAUUUAAUAUUUGUUUCUAUAACGUAUGAAAUAAAUCAGAAGGAAACUGCAUAAACAAAAAUUUAUCUUAUCAGAAACAUGGUCUCUUCAUUUUCUAUUGACAUACUCUUUCAAGUCAUUUUAUUAUAAUUUGUGUGAUUGGAUGGUGUUGCUCGUAAAGGAUCCUUGUUUCAAAUGAAUGUUGCUAUAAAGAUACAUAACUUGACUGUUUGUCAGAUAGCAGAAGAACAGGCUUCUAUUUCUGUUUUUCGAUUUCUUGACGGCAGCGAUGCUGGCAAAAAUCACGGCCGGUUUCCAGCUUGGCAUAUGGCAGACGUUACCUCGACGCAGCCGGUGCAGCGUACCGCGACUAUUAUCCGCGGUCGCCGCCGUUGACGAAUCACUGCGCUCAAAGCGUAACUGUCAAAGGAUAAAGCCGGAACUACGAUAAAGAACUAUCGUCCCUUUACUUGGAAGCUUCUGGUCUGUGGAAAAUAAAGGCCAAGUGGAUUCUUACCCAUUCACUUGGUAUCAUAACUGAAGCAUUACAAUAAUUAAUCGUUCAUUCUAUUAUUGUUGUUAAAUUCGGUUAACACGGUCUAGCGUUUUCAUUCUGUACUAAAAGUACAUGCGAAAUCAAGGAUGUGGAACGCAGAGAGAACAAAUUGUACGUACAUACGUGUAUCGAUAAAGUAUUAGAACACAGUAUACUGUAGAAUGUAAUUUUAUGAUGCCAGAAUCAAGAUAUAUAUACCAGAAAUAUAAAUAAAUUUCAUAAGGGUAGUUCGUUCUCCAAUGCAUAUAGUAGCUAAUGUUAUAGUUAUAAAUAAAAGAUACGUAAUCGAUAACAGGGUAUAACCGUAUUGAGAAAAUUACAGGUUGAAGAAAGGCAAGGACGUGGUAACAAGAUUAUUUUCGAAGAUUUUACAUCCUCGUUAUUGACGACGUAAUUUUAGCAUGUAACGACUUAAGGGGUCCACGGACAUGGCUACAUAGAUAAAGAUCGACGCGUUAGCCGUGAACUUUGCACCGUGAGAACAGUUUUCUUCGCUUAACAAGUCGCACCGAAGUUCCCGCGCUUCCAGACAAUGAAUCCUUCCACGCGGUGAACAACUGUAGUCAUUACCAGGAUUCAUAAUGGAAUGAGAAGGGAAAUCAGACAGUUUCACGAUCUUUCAUUGUACUUUCUAUGGACUAAGACUCGAACGAGACACAAACAAUCAAACGUGGAAAAGAAAUAAGAAAAAAGGAUGUUUAAUUACGUAUUUGAACAAGUGGAAUAAAUUUUAAAUGUCAUAUGAAAAUUAAAGACACCGUCUACUUCUUAAGUCUUUGUAAUGAUUUAUAUCUUAGUGAUAGAAAAAA